AUGGGAGCCUGGGCCCAGACAGUUACCCAGAAACCUGAUGAGGUUGUGUAUAAACUGGCUCAGAAUGCCUCAAUGGACUGCCAGUUCAUCCACACUCCAGAGCAGCAGGUGGCAAAGAAUCCCAUUCUCUACUGGCAUAAAAUUACAAGUUUGACCCAAAUGACAAGACUGUGGCCUGACCCAGAGUCACCGUACAAGGAUCGUGUGGAUGUUCUGGACAGUGACCGCAACUCACCAAACAGAUCUGUACUUCUGAAGAAUGUCCAGUGGGAGGAUAGCACUGGAAAGUAUGAGUGUAAACUUUCUUAUAGGGCUGCCAAACAAGAUAAGAGGACGAAAGGGAACGGUGUUAAGCUAUUGAUACAUGAUUCGAUGUUCUUUGGGCUUGAGAAUGAGACCCAACUCAUGUGUGCUGUGAAUGUUUCCCGGGAUGAUGGGUUUGUCUUAUCCUUGCUACAAGACGGAUCUAAAGUAUUCCAAAAGACCAUUGAUCCUCUUCACCCCAGCAUGUCACUGCCUGUUACCCUGUCUGUGAUCCUCCCCUUGGAGAAGGGCAAGAACUAUGAGUGUCAAAUCCACCUGGGCUCCACCAUGAUAAUGAGCCAGCCCUUCCAACAGCCGCUUGAGACGCCAGCAUUAGAGAAGGUGCUUCCUGAACCAGCUUUCCUGUUCGUGGCCAUCCUCCUGGUCCCCAUCACCGUGCUUCUGGCUCUGCUCACAGCCCUUCUUGUCUUACGCAGAUAAGACAGGAGAUAGUAAGACUGCUUAGGCCAAAUAUACAGUGCAUUUAGUAUUCAGAACCUUUGACCUUGUCACGUCCUGACCAUUAAAAGGGGUUAUUUGUUAUAGUAGUUUGGUCAGGGCGUGGCAGGGGGUGUUUGUUUUGUGUGUUUUGGGGUUUGAUGUAUGUUCUAUAUUUUAUAUUUCUAUGUUCAUUCUAUGUUCCCUAUCUAUGUUUUGUGUUUCUGUGUUUUGGCCUGGUAUGGCUCUCAAUCAGGGACAACUUCAUUGUCGCUGAUUGGGAACCAUACUUAGGUAGCCCUUUUUCCACCUGUCUGGUGUGGGAAGUUGUCUUUGCGUUGCAUGUGUUUGCACGCAUAGCUUUUCCUUCGUUGUAUUGUUUAUUGUUUUGCUGAUUCACGUUUAAAAUAAAGAAAGAUGAACCCAACUGUCACGACAGUGACGGAUGGUGGCGCCCCUCCUCGGCCGGGCGGAGCUCGGCGGUCGUCGUCGCCGGCCUACUAGCUACCAUCGAUCCCUUUUUGUUUCACUUUCGUUUGGUUAGGUCUAGGUAGGCACGCACCUGUUUUGGGUUAGUCAUUAGUAAGGGGGGGUUAUUUAGGUUAGCGUAGGAUGUAUGUGGUUGUACGUGAUUGUGUUGCUUGUCCGGGUUUUUUGUGUUCGAAAAGAACGUGUACUGAGUUUUUCCUUCUGCCAGUGGUUUAUUUUGUUUGUGUACACCACCGCAGAAUCUUUCAGGGCUGCGCCCCUAUACUUUGUCGACCACGUACAGUGCUUCCAAUAAAGAAGUGUGGUCACGAACUCUCUCUGUCUCCUGCGCCUGACUCUACCUCUCCUGUUCCUCGAGCCAGCCCGUGACACCAACUCACGCUGCGUUACUUACCUUUUCCACAGCCUUAUUCUAUAAUGCAUUAGAUAAAAAAAAAUACUCAUCAAUCUACACACAAUACCCC
rnacentral:lncRNA from 8 species